UACAGAGGGGGCAAGCGUUGUUCGGAAUUACUGGGCGUAAGGGCGCGUAGGCGGCCUGCUAAGUCGAACGUGAAAUCCCCGGGCUCAACCCGGGAACUGCGUCCGAUACUGGAAGGCUUGAAUCCGGGAGAGGGAUGCGGAAUUCCAGGUGUAGCGGUGAAAUGCGUAGAUAUCUGGAGGAACACCGGUGGCGAAGGCGGCAUCCUGGACCGGCAUUGACGCUGAGGCGCGAAAGCCAGGGGAGCAAACGGG
rnacentral:rRNA from 1 species